AAACGGAAAUAAUAUAGACGCAUGCGCACUCGUAGGACCCGGAAGUUUUAGAUUUUUGUGUGAAUUUCUUUAUGUUCCCAAAUUGAAUUUGAUAUUUAUCAUUGUCAGGAUCAUAUUUACCUAUCCUUAAAAUAAUUGUAUAAAUCAUGGGAGAGUCUCCUAGUUGGGGUUCACCCGCAUUGUUUAACGUCAGUCGUGGAUCGAGUGAUGAUAAGUUUGGAGUUCCAAAUACUGUUAGUGGAGACAGUCCUGCAAGUGGAGGAAGCCCUUCAAAAUUACCAUGGGGUUCGCCUUUUUCACCAAGUAACCAGUCAUAUGUUUCGCCUUUUUCACCAAGUAACCAGUCAUAUGUUUCGCCUUUUUGCUCCUCGAGUCCUAAUCUAUCGUCCACUGAUUCGGGUCGAUCCCUUGGACAUGACAAUCGCAGUGGAAAUCAUUAUUUUCAACAAAGACAUCCUCAUCGAAUAAACUCACCAAUUUCAACCCCUUACAAUUGUCGCAACCCCUUGCUUCCUCCACAUUCUGCUUACCCUCAUUACCAACAAGAUCAAAAUUGUCAUAUUCCUCGAUGUCCUGCAACUAGAAACGACAGAUACUCCCGUCAGAGUACUCCUUAUAGUUCUAAAGUCAGUUUUAAUAACAGCAGAUCUUUCAGUGAUGAUAAUAUUGCAAAUUAUUUUAAGCCAUCUAUGCUAGAAGAUCCUUGGAAAAAUUUGAAGUAGUAGUAAAGAGGUGUUGUCUGACAGGUUUUUGGUUGAACAUAUUGGUAUUCUAUAUAAAUAGAGCAAGAAUGUGAAGAUCAGAUUAUUUUAAGAAAAACUUUGAAUGAAAAAGAAAAGGCUGUUUGAUUCUUACCUUCUUGAUUAGUCAAGCAAUUUUUCUUCAUUCUCUAACACUGCCAUCAUUUUCAACUUAAAGUCUUUCAACAGUUUUCUUAAUGAACAAUACUGAGUAAUUCUUUGAUAUAUGUUUCUUUGCUUUAGUUGAAAGAAAUCAUCAUUUUACAUAUUUUAAUAAUUGACUUUUUCUGGCCAAAAGUCAUACAGACUUCAAAACAUUCUGUGUCAUUUUACAACUUUUCAUUGUCUUAAAUCCAUUAUAUUGACAGACAUAAAGAGUGAUAUUUUUUGAACGGCUCAUUGAUUUCAAACAUCACUUCUUCAGUAGGCAGCAUUGCUAAUAUGAGAAGCAGCAACAUUUAUUGUGCUUGUAUAAAUAUUUUGUUGAUAAUGUUAGGAUAGCUCCAGUUAUUGUCAUUUUGUUAUGUUAAAAGAAAUUCCUCUAUUUAAAUUCAGAUAUUAUAGUGACCAGUUUGAUUUAUCUAGCAUGUAGGGUGUGGUUGCUCAACUUGCUAGAAAAAGUAACCAAAUUACACCCUGUGAGCUUAAGAAGGAAGGGCACAUUGCAUUGUGUUAAAACAUGCUCCUAAAAAGAGUGGUCCUGAUUAAAUUACUAUUUUUGUCAAUAUCUGAACUCUGCAGAAAUACGCAACACUUGCGAGUGGAAGUUGCAUAUCCCAGAAAAAUUCAAGAGGAAAUGUUAGGUUAUUUUAUAUAAUAAACUUUCGUGUCUAUAUUACUAAGUCAGAUUUACAGCAACAGUUGUCUUCUAUUAUUGAAGAGGUAUGCAUCAAAAUAUGUCGGUGUUUUUGUGUAAAUGAGUAUGAUACUUUCCCUACAAACUCUUCACUCUAUUCUUUUUGACACAGCUGUUUGCUUUCUGUAAGAUACGAAGAUGGGGUGAAUAAAAAAUAACUAUAUCUAAUGACAUAGCAUUGGCUCUCCUUGUAGGAAUAGUGAGAACAUUUACUUGUUUAAAGAUAUAUAUUUAAUUUUCAAGUAUCAUUUAAUUUCUCAGUAUAAUGGCUACUAGAAAAUUAAAAAAGAAAAAUAGAAAACAAGAUUAUCACUUUUUUUUUUCAAAGAAUUUGUAUAUUUCUUGUUUUCAGAUUUGUAUAUUCUCUAAAAUUCUGUGUUUUAAUUUACCUAAAUACCCAUUUUAGCAUUUAAGUAUUUUGAGUUUACCAAUUAAUUGCAUGUUGGUAAGAUUACAUUAUUGAUGACAUAUUAAUUUCACAAUUGCUAUUUUUUAUUCACUGAAAUUUAUAGAGUAGUUAAGAAAUUAGUAUUAUGUAUUAUUUUCCUUCUCACAAAAAUAAUGAGUGCCAGCAAUUUCUUUAUUAAGAAAUUGAAAAAAAAAUCAAACAGUUUGAUAUAUUUACUGCAUGUCACUGCCAAAAGGAAAUUGAUUUAAUUUUUGAUAUAUUGUAAAUAAAUAUUUUUUUUUAUGAACAUGAA